rnacentral:rRNA from 1 species
UGGGGAAUAUUGGGCAAUGGGCGAAAGCCUGACCCAGCAACGCCGCGUGAGGGAAGAAGGUUUUCGGAUUGUAAACCUCUGUCCUAAGUGACGAAGGAAGUGACGGUAGCUUAGGAGGAAGCCCCGGCUAACUACGUGCCAGCAGCCGCGGUAAUACGUAGGGGGCGAGCGUUGUCCGGAAUGACUGGGCGUAAAGGGCGUGUAGGCGGUUUUUUAAGUCUGGAGUGAAAGUCCUGCUUUCAAGGUGGGAAUUGCUUUGGAUACUGGAGAACUUGAGUGCGGAAGAGGUAAGUGGAAUUCCCAGUGUAGCGGUGAAAUGCGUAGAGAUUGGGAGGAACACCAGUGGCGAAGGCGACUUACUGGGCCGUAACUGACGCUGAGGCGCGAAAGCGUGGGGAGCGAACAGGAUUAGAUACC